UUUUUGUAUUUUAAUUCAGAAAAAUAAAAGAUAAUAAAAGAAUAAAAGGAGUAGACGGCAGCAGUAUUAGACUUUUCAUCCUGAAAGACGGCAAGCAGUAAGCAGUUUCGUAGCUUUGAAGGCUACAGAAUUUUGCUUAUUUAUUUGCGACAAAGGGUUUAAUCGGCAAACACUGCAAGCACCUUCGUGCGAUCGCAAUUGCGGCGUCUCAAUGGUGAAGCUGUAUGCGUCGUGUGCAGCCAUGGUGGCGGUGCAAAUUGGUAUGGCUUGUUGGAUGAUGGAAGUCUCACAUCAGUUAAUUUAAGGAUAUUCUCUCCAUUGGUACUAAGCCUUUUAGAGAUGCCCAAAGGAAAGCCACGAGAACUUAUGCUGAAAGUGGACAAUAUCAUACCAUUGUGGAGAGACGUGUUCGUCUAACAUUGCUGAUCCAAUUCUCAUGAAAGUGGCUAGCAACAGUUAUCAGGAAUGGAGUUAGUUACCUGUAGAAUUAGCCAUGCACUCCAAGCCACUGCUAUUCCCAGAGUCAUGAUUCUUGUAUAUGUUUAUGAGUGGCUCCUUCAAGAUGGCUUUGGUUACGUGGGGUCCCUUCAAGAACGUGGAAAUAAGGGAACCGUCAAUGCAGAUAACCGUCCUCAACAUUUAGCACCACCUCUUGCGGUCUUGAUAUUCACUUUCUCCAAUUAAAUAUUGUGUUCUUUGUAUUUUCUCUUUUGGGUUUUUCCUACCCUGAUAGCUAAGUGGUUAAUAAUGAUCAAACCUUUAUUGUUUAUGUUAUUAUUUACUUAUGUAUAAAGAUUGGAGAAAGUGAAUAUCAAGAUUACAAGAGGUGGUGCUAAAGUGUUGGGGACGGUUAUCUGCAUCGUUGAUACUGAAAUGCACAAUACAUCUGUAAAUGAUAAUCAAGUGAAUGAAAGUGUGAGAGAAACCAGAAUUUCUCCAAUUUCAGCUGCAAACGUUGCAAGUUAACUACAGAACACACCAUGUGGCAGCGCAGUUGUUUUGUUUCACUGUUUUUUUGUUGUACCAUUAUUUGUGUUGGAAAUAGCUUGUGCUUGGCUAAUUCUUCAGAACAUAAAUGAAAUAAAGAGACUCAAAGAUUUGCAAGCUUUGAA